ensembl:lncRNA
AGGAGACGGCAGAUAUAGAUUCCCCUACUGACACUGCUGUAGAGGAAGAAGCUGUAGAAGAAGAAGCUCCUGCAGAAGAAGAAGAAGCUGUAGAAGAAGAAGCCACUUCAGAAGAAGACGCUACUGCAGAAGAAGAAGGUCCUGCAGAAGAAGAAGCCACUGCAGAAGAAGACGCUACUGCAGAAGAAGAAGCUCCUGCAGAAGAAGAAGCCACUGCAGAAGAAGAAGCCACUGCAGAAGAAGCUCCUGCAGAAGAAGCCACUGCAGAAGAAGCUCCUGCAGAAGAAGCUCCUGCAGAAGAGAAAGCUACUGAGGAAGAAGAAGCUACUGCAGAAGAAGAAGCCACUGCAGAAGAAGAAGCCACAGCAGAAGAAGAGGCUCCUGCAGUAGUAGCAGCUCCUGCAGAAGAAGAGGCUCCUGCUGAGGAAGAGGCUGCUGCUGAAGUCGAAGCUCCUGUAGAAGAAGAAGCUACUACAGAAGCAGCUCCUGCUGAGGAAAAGGAUACUGCAGUAGUAGCAGCUCCUGCAGAAGAGGAAGCCACUACAGAAGAGGCUACUGCAGAAGAAGAAGCUGUCACUGAAGUCGCAGUUAUUGCUGAAGAGGUGGCUCCUGCUGUAGAAGCAGCUGCACCUACUGAUGUCGAAGAAGAGGCUCCAACGCCUGUAGUGGAAGGGGAUACACCAUCUGAGGCUGCAGCUGACGGUGCCAAGUCUGGGGUGGCUGUGCCGAGCGCUAAACACUCCGGACAACGUUUGCGAUUCACUUGUUCAAAUUUCCGGGAAAUCAUCUAC